GCGUAUCAUUCAGUUUCCUGGAAUACCCAGUCUGACUGGAAGAAAAUGGAGACUCUUUUAGAUUUGUUGGGGGAAUAGGCAUGAUAUGCUUGGGUAUAUUUUUUUGUAUGGAGUUGUGGGGGAUUGCGAGAGCAGAAGUGGGUCUCCUGUAGGCAAACUACUGCUGCUUGGGAUUUGUGCAUGUCUUGUAUUGCUAGGUGGGCUGUUGAGUCCUUUAGUGUUUAGGGAGUAAAUUUUAAAUGUUGGUGAAGACAUUGUUUUGAAAUAAUUUGGAUAGCUUGUUCCCUUGCUACAGUAAGUAGGGUGUGAGUGUAAU